UGCUUUGUGCCAUUCAAAGAGGUGCAAGGACUGCGUAUCAGGUGGUUUCCCAAGCAUACCAAGACACACCGCCUGCAUACUGGCCAGCCGCGUUGAUGAAUGUGAAGUUGCAUCUAAAUCACCUGAAAAUUAUCAGCCAGAUUCCCUCUGUAAGUUGUUCUUAGGUCUCCCUUUAUGCAGAACUGAAGACUAUUCUGCUUGCUGUUCCCGUAAUGAAAGCGUUCCAUGCUUCUGGAAUAUCCUAAUCAAGCAAUGUUGAUGAUGUUAUAUGUACAUAAACGCAUGGGAAGUGAAUGAUUCUCUUAAUGUUGUAUCAUUAACCAAUGCAUUUCACAGGACUUCAACAUGGAUGAAUUUGACCGAAGCAGCAAGGCGCCAUUUAUAUUACGAUGCCUCCCCGCCGCUGCCAGCCACAUGUUACAGAAGCCCUUGUUAUCUAUAAUGGGGACCUCUCUUGCUGGAAGUUUAUCAGUCAUUGUGGUUGUAGGCGCAGUGGCGUGCUUAUGGACCAAGAAGAAAUGAACUUUAUAAUUCCUCAUUACUGUCUUGU
rnacentral:lncRNA from 1 species